rnacentral:rRNA from 1 species
GGACUACAGGGGUUUCUAAUCCCAUUCGCUACCCACGCUUUCGUGCUUUAGUGUCAGGUACACGCCAGUCUGCUGCCUUCGCUUUCGGUGUUCCCCUAGAUAUCAACGGAUUUUACCCCUACACCUAGAGUUCCACAGACCUCUCAUGCCCUCGAGUUGUACCGUUUCGUAUGCAGCUCCGAAGUUGAGCCCCGGGUUUUAACAUACGACUAAUACAACCACCUACGCACUCUUUACGCCCAGUAAUUCCGGGUAACGCUCGGGGCCUCUGUAUUACCGCGGCUGCUGGCAC